rnacentral:tRNA from 1 species
UAAAAGAUAGCUUAAAAUAAAGCAAAGCUUUGAAGGGGCUUUUAUGGGAUACCUCUUUUAU